rnacentral:lncRNA from 10 species
GCUCGAGGUACCCACUCCCUGGUAAUCACCUCUGAUUUUAAACUUCCUAACAGUCUGGCCAUGGAGGCAUGGUAUCCGUAACAUCCCCCAAAGGAGCUAAAGAAGAAAUCCACAAUUUACCAUGAGCAUUUCUCGUCUGAAGAUUGCCAAGCGAUUCCUCCAGGACAUUCCUCAAGAUCAAUUUCUGUUCAUCCACCUUGUCCUGGGAGGGACAUCAAUGGGUUUCCAUGUCCUUUGGCUUCUGGUUGAGUUCACUCAGUGGAGAACCCUGGCAAGAGGCAGGAAAAGGGGAGGAAGGUGAAAACCAUCCAUUUCUUGGAGAAGUGCCACGGUGGGGUUGCAAGUCCCAGGAUCAAGUUUUCGAUGUGUCUCUUUUUCCCGUAAAGUGGCUGAAAUCUGAAGCUGAAUCUGCAAGUGUCAUGGAGUCAUUGAAUCUCACAGUCUCAACUGAUAAAAGUUAUUAAAGGUCGUCUGGUUCAG